CUCAAGUCUAGAUCAAGAGGUAUAAGACUAACCUUCACUUUGUUCUUGAUUCUUUAAAAUGUUUUGAUGCAUUGUAUAUAAACCUAUGAACCUUGAAGGGGAUUUGCAAGACUAUAGCUUUGAUAAUAUGUUUUAAAUGCUUCCGCUGCUUUCGUAUAUUAAAUUUGAUUUGAAUAUGCAUGAUAGUCAUUAUGAAAUCCCAUUCUAGAAAUCUCAUAAAUUUCCCUUCAAGUGGUAUCAGAGCCAAUGGUUUAUAUUUAAUGUGUCCUUUUGGAUUUUAUGCAUAUGGGUAUUAAUAUUAUGAAUGACAUAUUUAUUGUUUCAUUCAAAGUAUGUUUGUCUUUUGUUUUUCAAUAGUUGAAAAAUGUUAGUCAAAAGUUGAGAAAUAUAUGUUUGCAAAAGUGUUUUGUAUGCAUGAAUGAAAAAUGAGUUUAAGACUAGUUUAACAUAUUAUUUCUUCAUUUAAAAGUAUGUUUGUCUUUUGUUUUUCAAUGGUUGAAAAAUGUAAAUCAAGAGUUGAAAAAGAUAUGCAUGUAAAAGUUGUUUUGUAUGCAUAAAUGAAGAAUAAGUCAUGAACAAAAUUUGGGGUUUUGUUCAAAAGGGUAGGCACGGUUUUGGGGGUGGUUUUGGGUUGUGUUUGUGUUUUAUUGUAAACCACUCACACAUCCUAUUAAAGCUUAAAAGAAGUGUUCUUGUCACUUUUGUUUUUGGGUUUGCAAAAUCACCAAGAAUGUACAAAUCUUGAAAUUGUGUUCAUGGUUUUGUUCUUGGUGUUCAUGGUUUGGUUUUGGGUGAAAAUGGUUUUAAUUGGUUUUCAUGCAUGGUUUUAUGGUUUUGGAUGAUGUUCUUACCAUCCAUAACAAUAUUAAAACUUAUAAAACCCUAGACUUGACUAGGAGGAUUUCCAUCACCCAUCUCACCUAAGUUUUAAUGGCAAAAUCAAGUGACAAGCAAAAUUUAAUUUUUCUUACAUAAUGUGGCUUUUAAUGCAUGUUGUGUAAGAGACCUCCCAUCCCCUUAAUGUGGCCGGCCUCCCUAGUGGAUUUAUCCACUUGUGGGGCUAUUUUGUAAUCUUUGAAAAGUUGAUAUUUACUUUGAAAUAUUUACGGUUUUACCCCUAACUUUUCAUAUUUACAUUUAGGCCCUACUAACUAGAAAGUUAAAAUAUUUGAUUUUAAUUUUGUUAGUUGUUUAAACUCAUAAUACUAUUAUGCCCAUAUGCACUAAAUCUAAAUGUUUAUGUUGCAUUCCCUAAUGAUUAUUUAAAUGUGUUUAAGUAGUUAUGAAAUGGAUGACUUUGGACUUAUGCCUUAAACGAUAAUUGAGCUA
rnacentral:lncRNA from 1 species